UCAGCUGUAAGCCUGUAAAUCGGUUAAUCGGUUAACCGGUUAAACCGAUUAACCGAUUUUUUUAAUUAAUAUUAUAUUAUAUUAAAAUUUAAAAAACCCCACAAAUAGUUAGGGUUUGAAACAUUGAAAUUGAGCUCACAUCCGCCUCCCCUUGCUUGCUUCCCAUUCCUACCGGCGCCUCCCUUACCUCCCACCGGCACCGGCGCCGCUGCCUCCCCCUUGGUGCUCUGCCAGUCAGCCUGCACUCCGCCGAGUCGCCGACGCUCUCCCAGUCCCAGGUCCGCCGCUGGCCCGCUGCAUUUGCCAUCACCGACAGCCGCCCGCCACCCCAGCUGCCGUCACCUCGUUCACCGCACUCCCCCGGCGCCACUCCCUCUGCCUUGUUCUUCUUCUCGGCGAUAACUCACUCCGCCGCUAGCGACCAGCGUCGCCCCCUCCACAGCGUCGCUGCUGUGCAUUCAGGUAUUAACGAAUAACAAUCUCUUCUUUUCUUUCUUUUUUAGGUAUCGUCCAAUUUGGUUUUUGGAGGUGGUGAAUUGUGAUAGAGUGCGACUUUGAAAGAGUAUUUUAAUUUUGUAAAAUAGUUGCUGGUGUAAAUAGUUAUGUUAGAUGUAAAUAAUGGCUUGAUAGUUGCUGGUGUAUUUUAAUUUUAUAGAUAGUUGCUGUAAAUAAUUUUGUGGAAUAGUUGUUGUUAUGGCUUGAUAAAUUUUGGUUUCGAUAUGUAAAAAUUGAUUGAAAGAG
rnacentral:lncRNA from 1 species